ensembl:lncRNA
GGGUCACUCUGCGCUGCCGAUGACACUUCUUCCACCCUGGGGACGAGUGGAGCGAUGGGGCAGCUAGGAGCAGCCCAGCUCCCCUGCCUGCAGGGAGUAGGGGGACUCCAGCCCACCGCCCGUGUGCUGCCCACCCUGCCAUUGCCCAAAGUUGGCUGGGGUGUGUCUUCCAGCUUCGCACCCUCAGUGCUGGGGUGCCAAGCGUGCAUACUGGGAAACACAGGCAGUGGUGGAACCGUCCCUGCUGGAGCAAGGCAGUCCUUUCUCUGCUCCGUGGCCGUGGCCGAGGGGGUGUUUGGCUGCAGGCUGAGCAAUUCGCAUUCAAUUACAGAAGCCAGAAGGAUUGGAACGGUUCUCCUUAUGGUUUUCUCUCAACCAAAGCCAACUUGUCUGAAUUAUGACCUAGGAAGCACCACAUUAGAGGCAAGCAAGGUCUCCAAAACACAGACCUCACAGAAGAUGUUCCCCAGUGAUGCAGGGUUGCAAGCUGCCUGGACUACGUGUGGGUGAUCUCGUGAUGACUUUGUCUGCAGACCAGCCCCGCUCCUGCCUCCCACAGCCAUUCCCAUUCCAAGUGUUGCGCUGUGCACAGAUCGCCCCAAGCACCACGUGAAGGAAAGCCAACCCCUCUGUGCCAGCCCAGCCGCCCCAUGUCCCCAUCCUGCGCUGGCCGCAGUGGCAGAGGGCCAUCCAGGUUUCUGUGACAUGAGUGGCUCUGCACACAGCUGGGCUGACCGGUGGUCUGAGACCACGCCAGGCUGCCGUGGGGCCCCUGCUGCUCCCGCACACCGAGAGGAGGAGGAUUGCCACCUCCCCAGCUGUGCCUGGUGCAGCACGGAUGUGGGAUGCGGUGUUUCCAUGGCGGGCCGCCUGCCCGGAGGGAUGGAUGGGUCCUCAUGCGCUGCCAUUGCGGGGAGGGCCAGCAGGGAGAGGGGACAGCCCCACGGCUGCUCCCGGCCCCGCAGCCCCACUCAUCACCCCGCCAUUCAUCGGGCCAGACAGAUGCCCCCAAAUAAAGGCCGCCGUGAUUGAUACCCAAAGACAAUGGGGUGGGAGGGGCCAGCGGGGCUCCGCAUGAAUAAACAUGACGGUCUUUGGACAGAGCUUCCUCUCUUCACAAAAUGGGACUGAUUGUGUGGCAGGCAUUUAACAUUCAGCUGUGGUCGGCCCCUCUUCCAUUGCCCCCCAAACCGCCGAGGGGGCCGUGACGAAUGGCUCAGAAAAGAGGGUGCUGUGAGAAACUGGAGCUGCGCUGUCGGAGUGGGUGCUUCCCCAUGGUUCCUCCAAGGCUCCUUUGUGGCCAUAAUCAAAGCCUGGCAGAGAUGAGGCACGGUGCACAGGAGGAUGGCUCGGCACACACUUCGAGCGCCUCCUGGACUGACCAGACAACCUGCAGGGUCUGUACCAAGGCAUCUCCUCGCUCAGGAGUGGCAGAGCUGGGAGGUACGGGAACCUCCCCAAAAGGUACCGCAGCGCUGCUCCUGCAGCCCACGGCAGGCAGCCCAAGUGCCACGGCCACGGGUAGGCUGGAAGCAGGGCCCCGUGCUUCCCAGGGAGGGAGUCUGCACGCCCGUGGGUUAUCGCCUGCAUCAGGGCUCGGUGACGGCGCUUCCCCAGAACACAUGUUCCCUCGUAAACCCGGGAUCCGCUUAUCUCAAAGGGCACAUCCGACAAUUAGCUUAUCUGCUGUGAAAGUGAGGAACAGCUUUAGUUAUCUGCCCGGCUUCCGCAAGCCAAAAAAAAAAAAAAAAAAAGGAGAAAGAGCCCCUGGAAGGACGAGGCGCAUACACAGCAUCCUAAAAAUAAAGUGAGUGCGCUGUGAGCGCGCUGCAGACAGGCUCCAUGUGCUCGUGGUGGGAGCUGGAGAUGCCCCCGAGUUUUAAGGACGCUUGGUGCUCCCUGGUGUCAAAUGCUGCCUUCGGCUGCUGGCAGCUUUGCCAAACCAUUCCAGGCUGGGUGGUAAUAUUUCAGGGUGGGUUGCGGAUUCUUAUUAAAUUUGGGGGGGGGGGAAAGUCUCAUCCAGAGAGCCAGGCUGUUUCCAAGAGCGAGGGUACAAGGAGAUAAAGCAUUUGUCCUUAUUUUGUUUUAAAAUUCUGCCUUUUGAAGCAGGAGCUUGAAAUUUGGCAAGUAGGGAAGGGAGAGAGGCUGAGAUUUGUCUCGUGUCCCUGGAAUAUACUCAAAUUUGACCAAGUCAGAACACUUUAUUUGGGAAAAAAUGCACUUAGCACACACUGGCCGUGGAAGUGGGCCCUGCUCGGAGGUGCAGGUCCCCCCCUGCAUUUCCCACCCAGGUGGCACCAGGGGACAUCUGGGGAUGCUGGUGCUUCUUCCCCGGUGCUGCUCUUUGCUCGGCUCCCACAGCAGCAUGGCAGUGCUGGCUUCCCAGAUCAAUCUUCAUGGCUGCAUGGCGUGGCUGCGGCUGUGCUUGCUGAGCCCAUAGGACCUGAUGGAAGCCGUGGCUUCCCAAGUGUUUGGCCUGAGGCAGCCUGCAGACAGGUGAGCUCCCUUCUGCUGUGCUGUGUCCGAUGUCAUUUUGAGUGCCCCACAGCUUUUUUUCUCUUGUCCCUCAACAAACCAGCCUCAAUCACACAUGUAUAAUGAAGCAGAGAGUUUAACCAGCCCUGCGGUGAAGCCAUGCUCUGCGCUGAUGGACACUGGCAGUGCAAACUGCCCAAACCCAGGGUGCUGCAGGAAGGGACACUGUGAGUGUGGCCCCUCUGCUGCUGCCCCCCGUGCUCUACUCCCUGUCCCCAUCACUGCCACGGGCACAGAGGUGCUGGCAGGAGCAGGAGCCGGGGCUGCCGGGCAGCUCCUUGGCAGUGAUGGGCACCCAGCAAUGAAAGGAAAUGGCCAACAGAUGCUGGAGAGAAGGCUGCCAGAGUGCUCACGAUGGUUCGGAGCCCGACCGUAGGGCUGUAUGAUGCUGGUUGGCAUCACUCACCUCCCUGCCAGCACUGCCACCACUUUCCGGUGCCUGCUGGCCCGGCUGGCACCUUCCUGCCUGCAGGGCAGGGACCUUGCUGCUCUGCCCAGCCUGGAGCACCACCAACACCAACCACCAACACCAGCUGUUGGACAAGUCACUUUGCUGCAGGUCACUGCUUGAGGACUCCUUCCCGUGGAGACCUCAGGAGGGCAAUGGUGCAGUGCCCGGCCUGGGGGGAGGCAGGGAUGGCUCUGGGGCCGCUGCUAUCUGCUUAUGGUCACUGCCCACUGCCCCCUGGCCCAGCACUUUCUCCCUGCUCUCCCCAAAAUGCUCAUGAAGAAACAAGUAUCUUGUUUGCAAACUAAAAACUAGAAAUGAUUUAUAUGUUUAUAAGCCCAGCUCUGGCUCUCUUUAUUUUGGCAAAGGGAUUGUUUGCAUCUUUGCAGAAUUCCUUCACCCAAACCACUCAUUAGAUAUGAAUUUCAAAACAGCCGGAGGGAGCGGGUGACUCAGGGGAAUUAGCAAAUGGCUUCCCAAAGCCUUUUACGUCAAGGCCAGCAGCUCCAUGCCAGUGGCCCAGGAGAUGCUGUCACUCGACAUCUGGUCAGCGCCCUCGAGCCGGAGGGUGCGUUAAGAAGCUGGGCCUCCACUGCCCCGCUGGCAGGUGGCUCAGCUGGGGAAGCAGUGCAAAGAGAAGGGCUGAGAGCCACGGAUUCCAUCGCCAGGGCUUCAGUGACCUCCAGGCAGCGGGGCCACGGGUGCUGCUCGGGGCAGAGAUGCAUUCCCCAACAACCUUGCACCCUAUAGCAGGGGACUUCUAGAGGAGCAGGCCUGCAGCCUGGGCAUGGGAUAGCAAACGGGAGCUGUGAGGGCUGCGGGGAAGCGUAAGGGCUGUGUUGUUGGGGAGCAAGCAGGCUCAGCCCGUGCCCUGAGCCGUGGGGCUGAGCUCCUCCCCGAGCACUGCUUGGCCCUCGUCUUGCGAGCAGAGAUGAAAAUAAACUCAGCUGAAGGGUCCUUUAACUUUCUCUACUCGAGUGAAAAUAAAUGCGAUUUCCCUGCCACCCGGCCCUGUAAAUUCCCCUCGCUGUGAAAUAUCUUCCAGAUAUAGUAAAGAGACGGCUUUCGGCUAUUUUUUUAAACAUCUUUAACUGCUGUAUAUAUUUCCAGGGAGACGUAAUAAGCGCUGCAGCUAAUUUAUCUGCAUGUACUGUAAAUAUUUUCAGGAGAUAGCAGAAAGGAUUUCAAACACAUGGCUGGAGGACUGGCACACAGCGGACGCUGGGUGGGAAGGAUGCCGUUAACCCUCCGUUUGCCGCUGCCCUCCGCAGGCCGUCCCCGUGCCCCCGGCUGCAUGCGGGGGUACCCACAGAGGGGCAGAGGCUCUGCAUCCCCCUGCCCCCCCCUCCAGAUGAUACCUGCCCCAGCCUGGGCGGUGCUGGGAGAUACGGUGCUGAUGCUGCCAGCAUGGGGUGGGCUCUGGGAAGGCAGCGGCUGCGGUUUUAACCUCUGUGAGUGCCCAGCAGUGCUUGCAACCCUGUGUUCCUGCAGGGCUCCCAGCCCCACGGGAGAGGCCAGGGUGGCUGGAUAGCACUGAAGUGGGCUGUCAGCCUUCCAGAGGAUGCGUUUCAUGCUGUUCCUCCUGACUUCAGACUGUUCUCUUCCUAACGGGCUGACCACAUCACUGCUAUGUGCCACCACUGCACGUCCAGCUCUGUCUGCAGCACUGUAAUCCGCAGUGGAGAGAAGUCCCAGGGGCAGGUGAGGGCAGGGCAUGUCACAGGGCAGAUAUGGGGUGAGCGGCGGGGCGCUGGGUGGGAGAGCAGAGCCGUGUCAUCCUGAGAGCCUGUGCCUGGUGUCAGCAGGAAGCAUCACAAAAAGCGCAUUCAAUUCAAUGCCUGCUAUGGAGCUAACAGCCCCGUGUCACGAACAGCCUGUCCUGAAGCUGUGGGUCAUUGCAGUGCAAUGCUCACCCCUCAAAGGGGCUGCACUCUGGCCAGCUGGGCAAAUCUGCUGCAGGCAUCCCUUGCUGCUAUGGACACCCCUUGCUGCUGGUUAUCCUUCAUUGCUAUGGACUCCCCUUGCUUCUACGGACACCCCUCACUGCUGCCCCAUCCGUGGGGGAAGCUGGGGAGACCCUGGCCCUGCAUCCUCAGAUCUGGUGGCUGUGUGUCCCCUGCCACAUCGCUGCCCACUGCUCCUGCUGCAGCUGCACAGUGUGGCUCUGGGCUCUACUGCGGCUUUCUGCUUCCACCGAAGGAACCGUUCUCUCAGCUCAUGAUUUGUUCCCAAGCCUCAUUUUUGCAUGAUGCAAUUUAACACAGAGCAAGGACACAAAGUACCUGUUGGCUUGGAGCCCACCCUAAAAGCCGUAAAAAGGAGAUAAAAGCCUUUAAAUGCUAAGCCUGUCCGAGGAGACAAUAAAAGGCAAAUGUCUUCCCAGUUUUAUGUCUGUGCCUUUUACUUGAUUUAUGGAAAUUUUGCCAUAUUCCUUCAUGCUUUGUGACUCCUCAAGCAGUUUGACUGUCGUAAAAGGACCAUAGAAGCAAACUGCACCCUCCAGGGGCUGCGUGGUCUCCAGAUCCAGGCUGGUCCCACUGCGCAGGGCUGCGGUGCCCCGGGUUCCUCU